UGUGUGUAGUGUUCAUGUUCACGUGUGUGCAUAUGUGUGCAUGUAGGUAUGUAUGCUCAUAUCCACAGGUGGAGGCCAUAGGUCUGUUUCUUAACUGCUUUCCACUUUAUUUUUGAGACAAGGAGCCUCAGGGAACUCUACACAUCCCCAGCUCCGAAACUGCAGACACGCUUUGCAUGCCCUCCCCCCGCCCCUUCUGUUUUACUUGGGUGCUAAGCAUCCAGACUCAGGUCCUCUCAUUUGUACCACUGAGACACCUCCUCAGCCCCUACUAUCUCUCUCUAUAUAUAUAUUUAUUUCCUGUGACAUCGUCUUUCAUUGAACCCAGAACUUGCUUAUUUUUGGCUGGGCUGGCUGGCCAAUAAGCCAGAAGAUCUGCCUGUCCUUUGCCUCCCCAGAGCUGGGGUCACAGGCAUGAGCUGCUGUACCUUGUGACCCCACCUCCUGCAUGCAAGCCUCUUUUUUUUUUUUUUUCUUCCCCCAUUUCUUGGGAGACAGGCUUUGCAGUUCUGUAGCCCAGGAUGGCCUAGAACUCACUACAUAGUCCACAUUGGCCUGAACUUUGCCAUCCUCCUGCCUCGGUAUUGGGAUGAGCGAUAACUGAGCGAUAGGGGUAGGCUAACUGCCAUCUAUCUGUUUUCGUCACAGCAGUUGUUAAGAUAGGAAACUACUUCCUAUGUGCAUUUGCAUGGUUACUGUCUACCCGUUAAACUGUGAGCUCCUUGAGUGGCCCUUAGUCGCUGCUGUCAACAAUGCUGGCUUCACAGCGAGAGGUAUGGUGUAUGUCUUCCCAGAUCAUGGCAAGGACUAAGUGGUCAUGAAAACCAAGCAUAUUAUAAGGGCCUGAGUGAUGCCACAUGUCUGAGGGGAUGACUACAAACCCACCACUGACACCCAUCAUAUAUGUAUGACUGAAAAAUCUACAAGAGAUUCAUCCGCAGACCUUGAAUGACUCCACCAUGAACUGAGAAUCAACAAGGAACACUCCGCACACUCGGAACUCCCACUGCUCAAGCUGCUGGACCAGCUGCUUCAUGACAGGCAGGUGGGUGUAGAGCUCAAUCUGACCUGCAGGGGGAGCACACGACAGCAGUCACACAAGCCAGGAGGCUGCAAAGAUGAGUAAGAGCAGGAAGGGCACCCACCCCGUGGACACAUGUCUGUCCAGGCCCCGGGACUAAAAGGGGAGGACAUCAGACCCUGCUACACAUCCAGCUGUUUUGCUCUGUGUCAUCUGUGGUGCAGGACUGAACUGCAGCCUGUCCAUCCCCUCAGACUAUGCCCUUUUCCCUUGGAUUUCUGUGGGGGUUUUGCAUUUUAUUCCUGAGCUUCAUUGUUUUGAUUUAUGUCUGUGUGUCUGUAUGUCAUGUGUUUGCAGUUGCCUGUGGAGACCAGAACAGGGUGUCAGAGUUGAAGUUCCGGAAGUUUCUGGGAACUGAACUUGAACCCUCUGGAGGAGCAAGUGCUCUUAACCUCUGAGGCACCGCCCACUCCCUGCUCUCAGCUGUCACGGGGACAUCACAGCCUCCCAGGACAAUCACAGAACCUGAGGUACUUGUUCACUACGUCCCCACGAGGACACAGUGUCACAGCUCCAGGCAGAUUGUACACUCAAGUUGUUGCUGUACCUGGACAGUCA